rnacentral:rRNA from 1 species
AUUGAACGCUGGCGGCAUGCUUUACACAUGCAAGUCGGACGGCAGCACAGAGAAGCUUGCUUCUUGGGUGGCGAGUGGCGAACGGGUGAGUAACAUAUCGGAACGUACCGAGCAGUGGGGGAUAACUAAUCGAAAGAUUAGCUAAUACCGCAUAUCUUCUGAGGAAGAAAGCAGGGGACCAUUUGGCCUUGCGCUGUUUGAGCGGCCGAUAUCUGAUUAGCUAGUUGGUGGGGUAAAGGCCUACCAAGGCGACGAUCAGUAGCGGGUCUGAGAGGAUGAUCCGCCACACUGGGACUGAGACACGGCCCAGACUCCUACGGGAGGCAGCAGUGGGGAAUUUUGGACAAUGGGCGAAAGCCUGAUCCAGCCAUGCCGCGUGUCUGAAGAAGGCCUUCGGGUUGUAAAGGACUUUUGUCAGGGAAGAAAAGGGCGGGGUUAAUACCCCUGUCUGAUGACGGUACCUGAAGAAUAAGCACCGGCUAACUACGUGCCAGCAGCCGCGGUAAUACGUAGGGUGCGAGCGUUAAUCGGAAUUACUGGGCGUAAAGCGGGCGCAGACGGUUACUUAAGCAGGAUGUGAAAUCCCCGGGCUCAACCUGGGAACUGCGUUCUGAACUGGGUGACUAGAGUGUGUCAGAGGGAGGUAGAAUUCCACGUGUAGCAGUGAAAUGCGUAGAGAUGUGGAGGAAUACCGAUGGCGAAAGCAGCCUCCUGGGAUAACACUGACGUUCAUGCCCGAAAGCGUGGGUAGCAAACAGG